UCCGGCUCAACGCCGGCAGUCUCUCUAGAGUCCCCACCAUCAUGUGCUGGCAACUAGAGACGGGGGUUGCGCUCGUUGCGGGACUUAACCCAACAUCUCACGACACGAGCUGACGACAGCCAUGCACCACCUGUGCACUGGCCCCGAAGGGCUGCAGUAUUUCUACGACAUUCCAGUGCAUGUCAAGCCCUGGUAAGGUUCUUCGCGUUGCGUCGAAUUAAAGAACAUGCUCCGCUGCUUGUGCGGGCCCCCGUCAAUUCUUUUGAGUUUUAGCCUUGCGGCCGUACUCCCCAGGCGGAGUGCUUAAUGCGUUAGCUGCGGCACAGGGCGGGUUGAAGACCGCCCCACACCUAGCACUCAACGUUUACGGCUGGGACUAC
rnacentral:misc_RNA from 1 species